rnacentral:rRNA from 1 species
UAAGUAGACCGCCUGGGGAGUACGGCCGCAAGGUUAAAACUCAAAUGAAUUGACGGGGGCCCGCACAAGCGGUGGAGCAUGUGGUUUAAUUCGACGCAACGCGAAGAACCUUACCUGGCCUUGACAUGCAGAGAACUUUCCAGAGAUGGAUUGGUGCCUUCGGGAACUCUGACACAGGUGCUGCAUGGCCGUCGUCAGCUCGUGUCGUGAGAUGUUGGGUUAAGUCCCGUAACGAGCGCAACCCCUAUCCCUAGUUGCUAGCAGUUCGGCUGAGAACUCUAGGGAGACUGCCGGUGACAAACCGGAGGAAGGUGGGGAUGACGUCAGGUCAUCAUGGCCCUUACGGCCAGGGCUACACACGUGCUACAAUGGCGCGCACAGAGGGCUGCAAACCCGCGAGGGGGAGCCAAUCUCACAAAACGCGUCGUAGUCCGGAUCGCAGUCUGCAACUCGACUGCGUGAAGUCGGAAUCGCUAGUAAUCGUGAAUCAGAAUGUCACGGUGAAUACGUUCCCGGGCCUUGUACACACCGCCCGUCACACCAUGGGAGUGGAUUGCACCAGAAGUGGUUAGUCUAACCUUCGGGAGGACGAUCACCACGGUGUGGUUCAUGACUGGGGUGAAGUCGUAACAAGGUAGCCGUAGGGGAACCUGCGGCUGGAUCACCUCCUU